rnacentral:misc_RNA from 1 species
ACCCAACACUGGCACUGCCGUACACUCACCAAUAACUACACACACGAUGCAGUCCGAGGGGCGAAACAACGCCGGUUGACUGCUCAUGGUGUUGCAAAAGUGUGGAUACACAACCUAAAGCGAUCCAAAGUACAACGGAAGCACCUUUUUCCUGGGCCAGACCUUAUAUUACAAGUUACUACAACAAACAUGGCGGGGAAAAGAAUAGGUUCACGAAACCCCCAUGUCACAACCUUUGAAACCAUAAAACCAGCGAGGCAACACAACGGUUAGUAAAAAUAGCAACUCACGAGGUUAUCAAAAUGCCUACAACACGUACGAUUUUUAAGAACCCUUCGGGAAGGGUAACACGGAAAUUAAGUACCGAACCAAAACGGUAGUGGUAGAUUUUUUCCGGAUGUGCUAAGCACCGCGUAGAAAUCCUGCUUACGUUUUGCAGUAACACAUCCACGGAUUCUCCUGCACGAUGGACCAACUAGGACGGUCAUCAG